AACGAACGCUGGCGGCAGGCUUAACACAUGCAAGUCGAACGCCCCGCAAGGGGAGUGGCAGACGGGUGAGUAACGCGUGGGAAUCUACCGAGCCCUGCGGGAUAGCUCCGGGAAACUGGAAUUAAUACCGCAUGCGCCCUACGGGGGAAAGAUUUAUCGGGGUUUGAUGAGCCCGCGUUGGAUUAGCUAGUUGGUGGGGUAAAGGCCUACCAAGGCGACGAUCCAUAGCUGGUCUGAGAGGAUGAUCAGCCACAUUGGGACUGAGACACGGCCCAAACUCCUACGGGAGGCAGCAGUGGGGAAUAUUGGACAAUGGGCGCAAGCCUGAUCCAGCCAUGCCGCGUGAGUGAUGAAGGCCUUAGGGUUGUAAAGCUCUUUCACCGGAGAAGAUAAUGACGGUAUCCGGAGAAGAAGCCCCGGCUAACUUCGUGCCAGCCGCCGCCGUAACAC
rnacentral:rRNA from 1 species